GCGGGUGUAGCUCAAUGGUAGAGCAGAAGCCUUCCAAGCUUAUGACGGGGGUUCGAUUCCCCUCACCCGCUCCA
rnacentral:tRNA from 14 species